rnacentral:rRNA from 1 species
UUCCACGUGUAGCGGUGAAAUGCGUAGAGAUGUGGAGGAACACCAGUGGCGAAGGCGACUCUCUGGUCUGUAACUGACGCUGAGGAGCGAAAGCGUGGGGAGCGAACAGGAUUAGAUACCCUGGUAGUCCACGCCGUAAACGAUGAGUGCUAAGUGUUAGGGGGUUUCCGCCCCUUAGUGCUGCAGCUAACGCAUUAAGCACUCCGCCUGGGGAGUACGGUCGCAAGACUGAAACUCAAAGGAAUUGACGGGGGCCCGCACAAGCGGUGGAGCAUGUGGUUUAAUUCGAAGCAACGCGAAGAACCUUACCAGGUCUUGACAUCCUCUGACAACCCUAGAGAUAGGGCUUUCCCUUCGGGGACAGAGUGACAGGUGGUGCAUGGUUGUCGUCAGCUCGUGUCGUGAGAUGUUGGGUUAAGUCCCGCAACGAGCGCAACCCUUGAUCUUAGUUGCCAGCAUUCAGUUGGGCACUCUAAGGUGACUGCCGGUGACAAACCGGAGGAAGGUGGGGAUGACGUCAAAUCAUCAUGCCCCUUAUGACCUGGGCUACACACGUGCUACAAUGGACAGAACAAAGGGCUGCGAGACCGCAAGGUUUAGCCAAUCCCACAAAUCUGUUCUCAGUUCGGAUCGCAGUCUGCAACUCGACUGCGUGAAGCUGGAAUCGCUAGUAAUCGCGGAUCA